rnacentral:rRNA from 1 species
UGUUCGAAAGGGAAACAGCCCAGACCACCAGCUAAGGUCCCAAAAUAUAUGUUAAGUGGAAAAGGAUGUGGCGUUGCCCAGACAACUAGGAUGUUGGCUUAGAAGCAGCCAUCAUUUAAAGAGUGCGUAAUAGCUCACUAGUCGAGUGACACUGCGCCGAAAAUGUACCGGGGCUAAACAUAUUACCGAAGCUGUGGAUUGUCCUUUGGACAAUGGUAGGAGAGCGUUCUAAGGGCGUUGAAGCAUGAUCGCAAGGACAUGUGGAGCGCUUAGAAGUGAGAAUGCCGGUGUGAGUAGCGAAAGACGGGUGAGAAUCCCGUCCACCGAUUGACUAAGGUUUCCAGAGGAAGGCUCGUCCGCUCUGGGUUAGUCGGGUCCUAAGCUGAGGCCGACAGGCGUAGGCGAUGGAUAACAGGUUGAUAUUCCUGUACCACCUAUAAUCGUUUUAAUCGAUGGGGGGACGCAGUAGGAUAGGCGAAGCGUGCGAUUGGAUUGCACGUCUAAGCAGUAAGGCUGAGUAUUAGGCAAAUCCGGUACUCGUUAAGGCUGAGCUGUGAUGGGGAGAAGACAUUGUGUCUUCGAGUCGUUGAUUUCACACUGCCGAGAAAAGCCUCUAGAUAGAAAAUAGGUGCCCGUACCGCAAACCGACACAGGUAGUCAAGAUGAGAAUUCUAAGGUGAGCGAGCGAACUCUCGUUAAGGAACUCGGCAAAAUGACCCCGUAACUUCGGGAGAAGGGGUGCUCUUUAGGGUUAACGCCCAGAAGAGCCGCAGUGAAUAGGCCCAAGCGACUGUUUAUCAAAAACACAGGUCUCUGCUAAACCGUAAGGUGAUGUAUAGGGGCUGACGCCUGCCCGGUGCUGGAAGGUUAAGAGGAGUGGUUAGCUUCUGCGAAGCUACGAAUCGAAGCCCCAGUAAACGGCGGCCGUAACUAUAACGGUCCUAAGGUAGCGAAAUUCCUUGUCGGGUAAGUUCCGACCCGCACGAAAGGCGUAACGAUUUGGGCACUGUCUCAACGAGAGACUCGGUGAAAUCAUAGUACCUGUGAAGAUGCAGGUUACCCGCGACAGGACGGAAAGACCCCGUGGAGCUUUACUGUAG